rnacentral:rRNA from 1 species
UACGUAGGGGGCAAGCGUUGUCCGGAAUCACUGGGCGUAAAGCGCACGUAGGCGGACUCUUAAGUCGGUGGUGAAAUCCUGGAGCUCAACUCCAGAACUGCCUUCGAUACUGAGAGUCUCGAGUCCGGGAGAGGUGAGUGGAACUGCGAGUGUAGAGGUGAAAUUCGUAGAUAUUCGCAAGAACACCAGUGGCGAAGGCGGCUCACUGGCCCGGUACUGACGCUGAGGUGCGAAAGCGUGGGGAGCAAACAGG